rnacentral:rRNA from 1 species
CCUACGGGAGGCAGCAGUGAGGAAUAUUGGUCAAUGGACGAGAGUCUGAACCAGCCAAGUAGCGUGAAGGAUGACUGCCCUAUGGGUUGAAACUUCUUUUAUAAAGGAAUAAAACGAGGCACGUGUGCCUAUUUGCAUGUACUUUAUGAAUAAGGAUCGGCUAACUCCGGGCCAGCAGCCGCGGUAAUACGGAGGAUCCGAGCGUUAUCCGGAUUUAUUGGGUUUAAAGGGAGCGUAGAUGGGUUGUUAAGUCAGUUGUGAAAGUUUGCGGCUCAACCGUAAAAUUGCAAUUGAUACUGGCAGUCUUGAGUACAGUUGAGGUAGGCGGAAUUCGUGGUGUAGCGGUGAAAUGCUUAGAUAUCACGAAGAACCCCGAUUGCGAAGGCAGCUUACUAAACUGUGACUGACAUUGAUGCUCGAAAGUGUGGGUAUCAAACAGGAUUAGAUACCCUUGUAGUC